AGUGAACGCUGGCGGUAGGCCUAACACAUGCAAGUCGAACGGCAGCACAGUAAGAGCUUGCUCUUACGGGUGGCGAGUGGCGGACGGGUGAGGAAUACAUCGGAAUCUACUUUUUCGUGGGGGAUAACGUAGGGAAACUUACGCUAAUACCGCAUACGACCUACGGGUGAAAGCAGGGGAUCUUCGGACCUUGCGCGAUUGAAUGAGCCGGUGUCGGAUUAGCUAGUUGGCGGGGUAAAGGCCCACCAAGGCGACGAUCCGUAGCUGGUCUGAGAGGAUGAUCAGCCACACUGGAACUGAGACACGGUCCGGACUCCUACGGGAGGCAGCAGUGGGGAAUAUUGGACAAUGGGCGCAAGCCUGAUCCAGCCAUACCGCGUGGGUGAAGAAGGCCUUCGGGUUGUAAAGCCCUUUUGUUGGGAAAGAAAAGCAGCAGGUUAAUACCCCGCUGUUCUGACGGUACCCAAAGAAUAAGCACCGGCUAACUUCGUG
rnacentral:rRNA from 1 species